UUUCCUUCUUCCUUUCUUUCUUUCGCUCAUUCAUUCGUUUAUGAGUCGUGCUGUUAAUCUGAUGAAAUAGAAGACAGUUGACAUGCGAAGCGAUUGUUACCUUGCGAAAGGCCAAUUGUUUCUUUAAUCUUUCCUUUGAUGAAGCGUUCAGUCAAAAAGAAUACGGCUAGGGUUUGAGCAAGAACUAAGAACACGAAGCCAUAGAGUUAUCCCCUUGUCCAAUUUGCUCAUAUGUUCUUUCGCAACGUUGGCAUCGCAUAUCUACUUUGCCCAUUAGUAAAAAGGUAAUACUGGAAGUGGAAGCAAGGGAAAAGACUUUUGAGGAAUUCAUGUUGUUCUGUAGAGUGUGUGGUCUAAAUUUAGAACAAUGUAAUGGUCAUAAUUCUAGAAGGGGCUUAUUAGGUAGAAUGAUGUGAGCACGAUAGCUUGUCUCCUCUAGGUUGGUUAAAUUAGAACAUUCUUUUAUCAUUCUCUUUAUCGAUUGCAUGGGGACUUGAUUAUCAUAGGAUCUUCUUCUUUCUGUACAUUAUAUUUGAGAUAUUGGUUAGUUGGUUUAGUUUGAAAGAUUGAUGUCUUAAUUUCGAUUAGGUUUAGAUAUUCCACUCAAAUUCACUGGUAACUGGACAUCUAGCAGAAGUCUAGAUGGAAACUGGUCUGGAUUUUUCUAAGCUUAUAGAUUCUGUAGGUUAAUAGUAGGACUUGUUUAGCAUGGGAGAUAAAUUGGUUCAGUGGUCUAACCUCUUGAAUGCUUAGUCAAGAAUUGAUUAUUGGAUAUGAGAUGCAUAGAAUCUAUUCUAGUCUGUGAAGUUCUUUUGUGCUUUUAAUAUUGGUUGCAAAAUAUAUUACUUCACAUGCUAGUGUCGGAAAUCAGUUCUUGGUUAAAGGGAGUUUUCUUGAAAACCAUCUUUUGUUGGACAACAAAUUUCAAAUGUUUAAGUUACACUCAGAAAAAGUAGCUUGCUCAAUUGUAUGUGUGAAACUUGUCUCUUUUUCUUUUUUACUUUUUUAAUGCCAUAAACAUGCUUGCUAUAUUGCCCUUUGAAACAAUGUCACUAAUCAUCAUUUUUUUAUUGCCACUGCAGCUUGCUGAAAAUGUUAAAUCAUAGAAAUUUGAGAUUUAUGUUAAUGGUCUUCUGGGAACAGCGUAUUACAAGCAGAAUGGUUGAUGGGCAGCUACAAUCAGGAAUUCUGCCGCCCGGGAAGUGUUACAAGCACCAAACAUCGAAUACCACAAAUUGUUGCUCGGGAACUUGUAUGAACUUUGAACUCAGCCCACGUAUUGAAGAGGGAGAAUUGGCUGUCUUGAACUAUAUUUUGUAGGGUUCUGAGUAUUGAUAAACUAAUGCACAAUAAUUUAUUCUCAAUGUUUAAACUUAUUUUUUGUUAUUAUAUGCUUUGGGUGCUCUGUUUAAACUUGGUUUUACUAUUAUAUAAUUCCAUAGAAUCUGCUUUUGAA